rnacentral:rRNA from 1 species
AAAGCUCUAGAGAUAGAGUGGAGGUUAUCCGGGAUACAGGUGGUGCAUGGUUGUCGUCAGCUCGUGUCGUGAGAUGUUGGGUUAAGUCCCGCAACGAGCGCAACCCUUGUCUUUAGUUACCAUCAUUCAGUUGGGGACUCUAGAGAGACUGCCGGUGAUAAACCGGAGGAAGGUGGGGAUGACGUCAAAUCAUCAUGCCCCUUAUGGCCUGGGCUACAAACGUAAUACAAUGGCGUAUACAAAGGGAUGCGAAAGGGCGACCUGGAGCAAAACUCACAAAGUACGUCUCAGUUCAGAUUGGAGUCUGCAACUCGACUCCAUGAAGGCGGAAUCGCUAGUAAUCGCGGAUCAGCAUGCCGCGGUGAAUACGUUCUUGGGGUUU